rnacentral:rRNA from 1 species
UGCGUAGGCGGCUGUGCAAGUCUGGCGUGAAAGCCCCGGGCUCAGCCCGGGAAGUGCGCUCGAAACUGCACGGCUCGAGUGCCGGAGGGGAGAGUGGAAUUCCUGGUGUAGCGGUGAAAUGCGUAGAUAUCAGGAGGAAUACCGGUGGCGAAAGCGACUCUCUGGACGGCAACUGACGCUGAGGCACGAAAGCGUGGGGGAGCAAACA